AGCGAACGCUGGCGGCAGGCCUAACACAUGCAAGUCGAACGAACCUUUCGGGGUUAGUGGCGGACGGGUGAGUAACACGUGGGAACGUGCCUUUAGGUUCGGAAUAACUCAGGGAAACUUGUGCUAAUACCGAAUGUGCCCUUCGGGGGAAAGAUUUAUCGCCUUUAGAGCGGCCCGCGUCUGAUUAGCUAGUUGGUUGAGGUAAUGGCUCACCAAGGCGACGAUCAGUAGCUGGUCUGAGAGGAUGAUCAGCCACAUUGGGACUGAGACACGGCCCAAACUCCUACGGGAGGCAGCAGUGGGGAAUCUUGCGCAAUGGGCGAAAGCCUGACGCAGCCAUGCCGCGUGAAUGAUGAAGGUCUUAGGAUUGUAAAAUUAUUUCACCGGGGACGAUAAUGACGGUACCCGGAGAAGAAGACCCGGCUAACUUCGUG
rnacentral:rRNA from 1 species